AUUGAACGCUAGCGGGAUGCCUUACACAUGCAAGUCGAACGAGUGGCGGACGGGUGAGUAAUAUAUAGGAAAGUGCCCAGUAGCGGGGGAUAACUACUCGAAAGAGUGGCUAAUACCGCAUAAUAUUGGAGAGGCCCAUAUAGGCUUAGAUAGUUGGUGGGGUAAAGGCGCACCAAGGCAACGAUCCGUAGCUGGUUUGAGAGGACGACCAGCCACACGGGGACUGAGACACGGCCCAGACUCCGACGGGAGGCAGCAGUGGGGAAUGUUGGACAAGGGGGGAAACCCUGAUCCAGCCAUGCCGCGUGUAUGAGAAGGCCUUCGGGUUGUAAAGUACUUUUGGCGGGGAAGCGGUAUCUGCAGAAGAAGCGCCGGCUAACUCCGUGCCAGCAGCCGCGGUAAUUC
rnacentral:rRNA from 1 species